GGAGAGGUUCCCGAGUGGCCAAAGGGAGCAGAUUGUAAAUCUGUUGGCACUGCCUUCGCAGGUUCGAAUCCUGCCCUCUCCA
rnacentral:tRNA from 1 species